rnacentral:lncRNA from 1 species
CUGUUGCAGUAGAGUCGAUUGAGGCUAAAGCUCACUUGUGGCUGCUCUGCCUUCCUGCUUCCCUCUGAGCCUUUGGAUCCCAGCUGGGCCUCACACCUGCCUGGUAUUCACACGGGUGUUCAAGAUCCAAACUCAGGCCCACAAGGACUCACGAAAUUCAGACUCACUGUCUAGAUAGUCAAGGAUGGCCCUGACUUUCUGAUCCUCCCACCUGGUGCUGGUUAACAAGUGUGUACCACACGUGGAGCCAGAGAUCACUGAACCUAGGACUUCACGCACGCUAGACAAGCAUUCUUCCUACUGAGCCGCAUCCUGAGCUCCACGGACUGGUUCCUUCUGCUCAGGAGAAUUAUGGUAAUGGUUGAUCAAUGUGCUUCUGUAAGCUGUGAGACCUUCGUUAGCUUACAGACGACUUAUGGAAGGAAACCGAAAAACCGAAGAAAAGACUGACCUAAGGAUAAAAUGUGUGGAGGCGAGCUUGGCCAGACUCCAGGUGAAUAUCAGCCAAAGUUCAACGGAAGUCUGCACUGUACACAGAGCAGAGAUGAGUCAGGGAAGGGAGCGGGUGAGCUGUGAUCCUCCUUGCCCUCGGGGGUCGUCAUCGUAUACUGGUCCACAAUGGCAAAGGGAGCCGGGAUAACUGGUGUCCAGAAGCUCCGUGAGUAUGUACGGUGAAGGAGACAUACCAGGACCGCUGCAGGGAGGCCCAUCACCUUUACUUAGGGUGAUUCAGGUUUAUAUAAUUUGGAGAACGCAGGGGAAUCUCAGGUGCUAGCUGAACGGGUUCUUGUCAGGAGAAAGUAAGCUGAACCUGUAAUCUAACUAAAACUGUCUAUAGUUAGAGGUGUGUGUGUGGGGGGGGGGGGGUUAAUUCCCCAGACAAGGUCAGAGAAGGAAGUGGAAGCCCUGCCAACAAGGGAGUCCUCCCUUCUGUGAUGAACUGGGAGGGUAUCUGGUUAAUGGUAGACUUCGACCUUAAUUAGCAGAGUUUUCCCACAGCGAGUCUUCCAGAUAGAUCCUCAAAUGUACAUUUUGUGGAGGAAGAGAUAGAGCUAUAGAUCACAGCGUACAAGAAAGGGGUCCCUGUCUUCCCUCCAUCGCCUCUGCCAUGGACAUCUUCCAUUUAUUAAGGUGCCACUCAAAAGCCACUUCUUCUGUUACCUUCUCUACUUUUCCUAACUAAAAAUAAUCCCUCUCAUGUAGGAAAUUCUCCUGUUCAUACAGCACUUUCUCUUUGUGUAUUGGUCACCUAUGUGUUUACAUUUUAAAUUAUAUAGUCUGCAGCCUAUCUAACAGAGUUCUGUCUAAAUACCAAUAAAAACCUUUUGUUGUUAUGAUUAUCUUGAGAUGUGG